rnacentral:rRNA from 1 species
AUGUAUCAAGUCGAGGAGGUCAUCCACAACGGGGUUGUGGUUGCUAUCCUUGCCCACUUCACCAACCCCGUCAACAUGUUCUACCUCCUCGGCCGUGUGUUCUGGUGUGGCUGCAUGUUCAUAGCUUUCACCACCCAUAACAUCUUCACGGACUACGACAACGUCUUCCCCACCGAGGAGUGCAUGCACACUUUAUAA